rfam:Candidate division WOR-1 bacterium RIFOXYC12_FTLL_54_18 RifOxyC12_full_WOR_1_54_18_curated_complete, whole genome shotgun sequence.
CCCGGUGACCAUACCGGAGGUGACCCACCCGUUCCCAUUCCGAACACGGCAGUGAAAUCCUCCCGGGUCGAUGGUACUCCUUAACUUCGUUUUGGGGGAGAGUAGAACGUCGCCGGGG